rnacentral:rRNA from 1 species
UAAUACGUAGGUGGCAAGCGUUAUCCGGAAUUAUUGGGCGUAAAGCGCGCGCAGGUGGUUUCUUAAGUCUGAUGUGAAAGCCCACGGCUCAACCGUGGAGGGUCAUUGGAAACUGGGAGACUUGAGUGCAGAAGAGGAAAGUGGAAUUCCAUGUGUAGCGGUGAAAUGCGUAGAGAUAUGGAGGAACACCAGUGGCGAAGGCGACUUUCUGGUCUGUAACUGACACUGAGGCGCGAAAGCGUGGGGAGCAAACAGG